rnacentral:rRNA from 1 species
ACACAUGCAAGUCGAACGAGAAAGUCCGCAAGGAUGAGUAAAGUGGCGUACGGGUGAGUAACACGUGGAUAAUCCANNNCNUAGUGGGGAAUAACUUUGGGAAACCGAAGCUAAUAUCGCAUAAGCCUGAGAAGGGAAAGCGAGAAAUUGCGCUGAGAGAGGAGUCCGCGGCCGAUUAGCUAGUUGGUAGGGUAAAAGCCUACCAAGGCGAUGAUCGGUAGCCGGCCUGAGAGGGCACACGGCCACACUGGCACUGAAACACGGGCCAGACUCCUACGGGAGGCAGCAGUGGGGAAUCUUGCACAAUGGGGGCAACCCUGAUGCAGCGACGCCGCGUGAACGAUGAAGCCCUUCGGGGUGUAAAGUUCUUUCGGCAGGAACGAUAAUGACGGUACCUGAAGAAGAAGCUGCGGCUAACUACGUGCCAGCAGCCGCGGUAAUACGUAGGCAGCAAGCGUUGUUCGGAGUUACUGGGCGUAAAGAGUGUGUAGGCGGUGCUCUAAGUUUGGUGUGAAAUCUCCCGGCUCAACUGGGAGGGUGCGCCGAAGACUGGAAUGCUUGAGUAUGGGAGAGGAAAGCGGAAUUCCUGGUGUAGCGGUGAAAUGCGUAGAUAUCAGGAGGAACACCUGCGGUGUAGACGGCUUUCUGGACCAUCACUGACGCUGAGACACGAAAGCGUGGGUAGCAAACAGGAUUAGAUACCCUGGUAGUCCACGCCCUAAACGAUGCAUACUUGGUGUGAGCCAUUCAUUUGGUUCGUGCCGGAGCUAA